CACCUACUCCCUCCGUUUCGAAUUACUUGUCGCGGGUAUGAAUGUAUCUAGAUGUAUUUUAGUUCUAGAUACAUCCAUUUCUGCGACCAGUAAUUUGGAACGAAGAGAGUAUAUA
rfam:Triticum urartu cultivar G1812 contig613271, whole genome shotgun sequence.